rnacentral:rRNA from 1 species
CCCUUAGAUGUCCGGGGCUGCACGCGCGCCACACUGAGUGGAUCAGCGUGUGCCUACCCUUCGCCGAGAGGCGUGGGUAACCCGCUGAACCCCACUCGUGAUAGGGAUUGGGGAUUGCAAUUAUUUCCCAUGAACGAGGAAUUCCCAGUAAGCGCGGGUCAUAAGCUCGCGUUGAUUAAGUCCCUGCCCUUUGUACACACCGCCCGUCGCUACUACCGAUUGGAUGGUUUAGUGAGGUCCUCGGAUCGGCCCCGCCGGGGUCGGUCACGGCCCUGGCGGAGCGCCGAGAAGACGAUCAAACUUGNCNAUCUAGNGGAAGUAAAANUCGUANCA